rnacentral:rRNA from 1 species
GCUGACGAGUGGCGGACGGGUGAGUAAUGUCUGGGAAACUGCCUGAUGGAGGGGGAUAACUACUGGAAACGGUAGCUAAUACCGCAUAACGUCGCAAGACCAAAGAGGGGGACCUUCGGGCCUCUUGCCAUCAGAUGUGCCCAGAUGGGAUUAGCUAGUAGGUGGGGUAACGGCUCACCUAGGCGACGAUCCCUAGCUGGUCUGAGAGGAUGACCAGCCACACUGGAACUGAGACACGGUCCAGACUCCUACGGGAGGCAGCAGUGGGGAAUAUUGCACAAUGGGCGCAAGCCUGAUGCAGCCAUGCCGCGUGUAUGAAG